UACGUAGGUGGCAAGCGUUGUCCGGAAUUAUUGGGCGUAAAGCGCGCGCAGGCGGCCUUUUAAGUCUGAUGUGAAAGCCCACGGCUCAACCGUGGAAGGUCAUUGGAAACUGAAAGGCUUGAGUACAGAAGAGGAAAGCGGAAUUCCACGUGUAGCGGUGAAAUGCGUAGAGAUGUGGAGGAACACCAGUGGCGAAGGCGGCUUCUGGCCUGUAACUGACGCUGAGGCGCGAAAGCGUGGGGAGCAAACAGG
rnacentral:rRNA from 1 species